rnacentral:tRNA from 1 species
AAAAAGGUAAUAGAUGGGAAUAUGGUUGACUUGAAAUCAAUUAAUGUAGGUUCGACUCCUAUCCUUUUUG